rnacentral:rRNA from 1 species
UACGAAGGGGCUAGCGUUGCUCGGAAUCACUGGGCGUAAAGCGCACGUAGGCGGACUCUUAAGUCGGUGGUGAAAUCCUGGAGCUCAACUCCAGAACUGCCUUCGAUACUGAGAGUCUUGAGUCCGGGAGAGGUGAGUGGAACUGCGAGUGUAGAGGUGAAAUUCGUAGAUAUUCGCAAGAACACCAGUGGCGAAGGCGGCUCACUGGCCCGGUACUGACGCUGAGGUGGCGAAAGC